rnacentral:rRNA from 1 species
GAUGAACGCUGGCGGCGUGCCUAAUACAUGCAAGUCGAGCGAACGGACGAGAAGCUUGCUUUUCUGAUGUUAGCGGCGGACGGGUGAGUAACACGUGGAUAACCUACCUAUAAGACUGGGAUAGCUUCGGGAAACCGGAGCUGAUACCGGAUAAUAUUUUGAACCGCAUGGUUCAAAAGUGAAAGACGGUCUUGCUGUCACUUAUAGAUGGAUCCGCGCUGCAUUAGCUAGUUGGUAAGGUAACGGCUUACCAAGGCAACGAUGCAUAGCCGACCUGAGAGGGUGAUCGGCCACACUGGAACUGAGACACGGUCCAGACUCCUACGGGAGGCAGCAGUAGGGAAUCUUCCGCAAUGGGCGAAAGCCUGACGGAGCAACGCCGCGUGAGUGAUGAAGGUCUUCGGAUCGUAAAACUCUGUUAUUAGGGAAGAACAUAUGUGUAAGUAACUGUGCACAUCUUGACGGUACCUAAUCAGAAAGCCACGGCUAACUACGUG